AUGCAUAAUAAUAAUAAGGUAGGUGUAACGUUCAUUUGCAUUUUGCAACAGAAACAUCUUCUUAUAGAGUAUUGUUUUACAGGCUAAUCUUUUUUUAUGUAAUGUAUUCAAAUGUAAUUAUAAUUAGGAUUGGGAUAAUACAAAAAUAUACUUUUUGCUGAGUGAUAUCUAUUACAUUGUGACAGAAUUUUGGUUUCUCAAUAAUUCUCAUCCUGAGGUACCGUAAGUUUAAUGUGGACUAAGUUACUAAAGUUGAAAAUAUUAUUUUAAAAUAGCAAAUUUAAUUUAUUUAAUAAUAGGCUAGCAACUUUUAUUAAUUUCUUUGUUCUAUCAUUAGAAUACUUGAAUAAUAUUAGAAGUAGGGGUACUGAAUAGGCUAAAUAUAUUUAGACCUAAUUCCCUAUUGUGAGAUAUUUAUGAAUUUCAUCUUCUUUUAAAUACUGUAGUUAGGUUACUGCAUCAUUUAUUCAAUAAAUUAAAUAAAAAAGGAUUUGCUAACAUAAGUGAUUUACAUGUAGGCCUACUGCAGUCAGGCUACUUGUUGGAAAAUCCAUUUAGAGAAAUGAUUCAAGAUUAAGCUUAGAGUGGUUUAGCCAAAUGUGGAUUGUUUUAUAAAAUAAAGUUUUUCAGUAUUUUAUAAAAAGUUCUCCAUUAACCAAAUUAUAAUCUGAAUGAAAUUCAACCAGACUCACUGAAGCCCUAGAGCUGAUUGGAUUGGUUGUUUGAGGAUAAUUUAUAUACGGUACUCAGACUACUGUAAUUUGUAGCAUCAUAGAGAAACAAUAGCAUAAAAAACAUCUCAUGGUGUUUAAUUUAAUGGUUUAGUAUAGGGCUCUUAUGUUGUAAAUUUCACUGUUAACUCAAGCCGCUGGUAUUUUGCUUUAUGGUAACUCAAUAUAAAUAUAAUAACUCUGGUACUAUGAGGUCCACCUAAUGGCAGCAUUUGAUAAACAUUGGUGUUGCUAUUCUUGUCUAUCAUUAGACAAAUGUCUAAUGAUAGACAUUUAUAAAGGAAAGGACAUAGAAAGGAAAGUAAGUAAGUAUCAAGUAAGUAAAUCAAAUUGCUUUGGAAAUUGAAAUAAGUUUAGCUCUAUCCUCAUGUUGCUUCACAUGAUUGUUUUUUUACAAUGUAAAAAUAUACCUAAUUAAUUAGACCUUACAAAAAGAUUUAAUUUAAAUCAUGAAAAUUUAUGAAUUACUAAUUGAAUAAUAUAUUUUCUUGACGAAUAAAAUAUUAUUUAUUAUUAUUAAAUAGAAUGCACAUUUAAUAUUAGGUUACAUCAGAUAUGUUAUUCCGAAUCAGCUAUUCACUAUUAUAGGAGCCAGUGGCAAUACAGGAAAUCGGCAACGCAGUUGUCCUAUCUUUUCUACUGGCAUUAUAGCAUUGACCUAACUAUAAGCCUACUUGAAUGAAUGAAUUUAUUUGCCAAAAACAAGAUACAAACAUAAAAAUUAAGGAAAUGUUAAUCUAUUUAAUUAGAAAUUAUAACAAAAUGAUAUCCUUAUUUAUGAUAAUAGUAUUAAUAAAUUAAGAUUAAAUUUAUGCUCACAUGCAUGAGUACAGUAGGUGAGGCAAAAAUACCUGCAGAAGGAAGAUUCCUUGUUUGCCAGUGUGACUCGUAUAAUCAGCUGUACUUAAGUAUCGCUGUAUUUAUUUACCCUCUUUAAAUGAGUAGUUUUCAUUUGAUCGCCAACUUUUUUCAUGCUAAUGUUAAAUUUAAUAUUAUACAAAAGUUUUCCUUAUAAAUUAACUUGAACUUAUUAUUUAUAUUUUACAGUGCCAAACUGAUCAACUGCAUCCUAAUGGAACGUUCAAGAUGUGAUUCAGUAACUGAUACGGUUGUUGCAAUAAUUAUUUUUGACCAAAUGAUUACGAACAAGCGCAGCUAUCUUUGGAGGGGUAAUGCACCUACUGAUAUCCCGUGAUAAGAACUUGGGAGAGAUUUAGUGAAAACCUGGAGAACGGCCACUUAGCUCACAAAUCUGAGCUGUUCACAUCAAGCUGAUAUUUGUGACAGCCAUUAUAGCUUUAAUCAUUUUCUCGAUUGAUCAAAGCACCACAGACUGCAUCGUUCGUCACCUCUGCCUUUAAGCGCGUUAUCACCUACUCCAAUAAGCCACCCCAAUAUCCUUAAUAAGCAAUAGAAGUUCUUAUCGACUGUGUAUGACUCAUUAAUAUCCAUGUUCUGUAUAAAUUUAUGUGAUAGGCCUACUGGUAUUAAUGUUGAUGUACCGUAAUGUUUUUUGCUCAUGUAUAAUUGAUAAUAAUACAUUAAAAAUAAAUAUAAUGUUAAAUAAU